rnacentral:rRNA from 1 species
GACGAACGCUGGCGGCGUGCUUAACACAUGCAAGUCGAACGGAAAGGCCCUGCUUUUGUGGGGUGCUCGAGUGGCGAACGGGUGAGUAACACGUGAGUAACCUGCCCUUGACUUUGGGAUAACUUCAGGAAACUGGGGCUAAUACCGGAUAGGAGCUCCUGCUGCAUGGUGGGGGUUGGAAAGUUUCGGCGGUUGGGGAUGGACUCGCGGCUUAUCAGCUUGUUGGUGGGGUAGUGGCUUACCAAGGCUUUGACGGGUAGCCGGCCUGAGUGGGUGACCGGCCACAUUGGGACUGGGAUGCGGCCCAGACUCCUACGGGAGGCAGCAGUGGGGAAUAUUGCACAAUGGGCGGAAGCCUGAUGCAGCAACGCCGCGUGCGGGAUGACGGCCUUCGGGUUGUAAACCGCUUUCGCCUGUGACGAAGCGUGAGUGACGGUAAUGGGUAAAGAAGCACCGGCUAACUACGUG